CACUGCUGGAAAACUACCCAAGCUUGCUUUAAACUAGCAGUACCUUGCUCAGAGUGGGCAAAUUUAUGCUACUUUUUUCUGGUUUUAGUUGUCAUCGACCUCCAAACUGCUGUUAUCUAACUCCAUAAAGCUCGUUUCUGCUGUGUACAGACCUGCACUACAGACUUGCUCCCAGCUCAAUACCCUGCUUAGGACUUUACUUGCUGUAAACUGGGAAUAAUUUCACCCAGGAUGAGUUUGCCCACGUUGCAUUGGAAAAGCAGUCUUUCACUUCCCAGCCUGCGCUCAGCCAUGGUGAAGCUAUUCUGGUUACACAAUUACUGGUUCUCAUCCCAGAAACUGCUGCACAUCAGAAUUGGAUCUCUUACUGGCCCAGUAAACUCUGUGCAGAUCUGACCUGUUCUCUGUGAGGAAACCACCCCUGUGGCUUGUGUAGCUGCUUCUUCCACUUCCCGCGUCAAGGACAGCAUUACAAACCCUCUGUCAUCUCCUCUUCAAAGAUGAAGAUGAAACUGCCCGUUCCCAGCAGCUGAAAGAUGUGCUUUAGUUAAAACCUCAGCCUGUGAACUCAGGAGGGAUGGGAAUCCCCUGCAGGCUUCCCCAAAAAGACACACUCCCCAAACGUGCUCACUGUGCAGCAGCGAGCCCUCGGUGCCCCAGGCCGAGCAACAGACUCUGCAAUGAUACAUUAAAUUCAUAGAAUUCAUACU